CUUUAUGGCGGGUUGUGCGCAGGACACCUUCGGGUGUGCCGGGUCCGUGAUCUCGGUCGACCAACCUGUGCAUAGCUCGCCACCCAU
rnacentral:antisense_RNA from 1 species